rnacentral:rRNA from 1 species
CAACUUUCAGCAGUGGAUGUCUAGGCUCGCACAUCGAUGAAGAACGCUGCGAACUGCGAUACGUAAUGCGAAUUGCAGGAUUCAGUGAGUCAUCGAAAUUUUGAACGCAUAUUGCACUUCCGGGUUAGUCCUGGAAGUAUGCCUGUAUC